UAGGGAAUCUUCCGCAAUGGGCGAAAGCCUGACGGAGCAACGCCGCGUGAGUGAUGAAGGUCUUCGGAUUGUAAAACUCUGUUAUUAGGGAAGAACAUAUGUGUAAGUAACUGUGCACAUCUUGACGGUACCUAAUCAGAAAGCCACGGCUAACUACGUGCCAGCAGCCGCGGUAAUACGUAGGUGGCAAGCGUUAUCCGGAAUUAUUGGGCGUAAAGCGCGCGUAGGCGGUUUUUUAAGUCUGAUGUGAAAGCCCACGGCUCAACCGUGGAGGGUCAUUGGAAACUGGAAAACUUGAGUGCAGAAGAGGAAAGUGGAAUUCCAUGUGUAGCGGUGAAAUGCGCAGAGAUAUGGAGGAACACCAGUGGCGAAGGCGACUUUCUGGUCUGUAACUGACGCUGAUGUGCGAAAGCGUGGGGAUCAAACAGGAUUAGAUACCCUGGUAGUCCACGCCGUAAACGAUGAGUGCUAAGUGUUAGGGGGUUUCCGCCCCUUAGUGCUGCAGCUAACGCAUUAAGCACUCCGCCUGGGGAGUACGACCGCAAGGUU
rnacentral:rRNA from 1 species